AUGGAGGGGGUGGUGGCGACCGCGGUGACGGGAGCCAUGAGGGCGCUGCUGCCCAAGUUCGCCGAGUUGCUGGCGAGCAAGUACAAGCUGUCCAGCGGCGUGCACAAGCAGAUCGUCUCGUUGCAGAACGAGAUGAGCACCAUGAACGCCCUCCUUGUGAAGCUCUCUCGGGUGGCGGCGCUCGACGAGCAGCAGAGGGACUGGCGUGACAAGGUGCGUGAGCUCUCCUACGACAUGGAGGACUGCGUCGACAUCUUCACCCAUGACCUCAACGGCGGCGACCAUGGCAGCAAGGCCUGGCUUAAGCGCGGGCUCAGAAAGAUCAAGACGCGCCACAAGAUCGCCAGCCGCAUCGAGGAGCUCAAGGCUCGGGCGCUAGAAGUAAGCAGCUGCCACCAUAGGUAUAAGAUUGAUGAGUGCACCCCUUCUCAUGGGGGCAUGGUGGCUAUUGACUCUCGAAUGGAGGCACUCUAUCUAGACGCCAACAACCUCGUAGGCAUAGAUGGCCCGAGGGAGAAGCUCAUCAAGUUGCUCAGUCGGGGGCAGGAGGGUGCAAAUCGCCUUAGAGUGGCGGCCGUUGUUGGAUCUGGUGGUAUGGGCAAGACAACUCUCGCCCACCAAGUUUAUACUAAGAUCAAAAGCCAAUUUGAUUGCAAGGCUUUUGUAACGGUGUCUCAGAAUCCCAGUACAUUCAAGAUUCUGUCAGAUAUAUACCAAGGAUUUCGGGGCUGGGAGUUGCCUCCUUUUCUGAAUGAUGAACACAGACUCAUCUUCUCACUCCGGGAGUACCUCAAAGAUAAAAGGUAUGCUCUGUCUCAUGCUUAA
rnacentral:rRNA from 1 species